GCUGGCAUGGCUCAGUGGUUGAGCAUCAACCUAUGAAUCAGGAGGUCACGGUUUGUUGAUUCCCAGUCAGGACACAUGCCCAUGUUGUGGGCUCAAUCCCCAACUGCAGGCA
rnacentral:tRNA from 1 species